AAAUUAUGAUAUAUUCAGGAGUUUUUGAAUAAAUCGAAAUUGGACUCCACCUGCACCCGAAACAAUUUUGCUUUUUUUGUAGCAAAACCAAUAGACACACAAUUAUGUUACUUACAUAUGUAGAACCCGCAAACGACGCAUAAUAUAAUCGUAAAAUUUAAAUCAGAGAAUUAUUUAUGUUGGAUACCAGUUCACACGACUCGAUUAUAAUCAUUGAAAUAUAAGCGAAGCCUGUAUGCUAUGGUUGGAGUUCAAUGAUUAUAGCGUAUCUAUGGAUUAUAAAAUGUGAAUCUAUGGUGAUAAUUCAUAAAGGAUCAGUGGAUAGUUCUGUGAAUAGCCCUUUGUGUAUCUAUUAUCUAUGGUCUAGUCCCAAAACGGCUCAUCGCCAUUUUAAAAAUUCCAUCAAAGAUAAAUGAGAGAGAAGAUUGAAGUUUAUUUUUGAUGCUACUGAAAAAGCAAGUCGUCUCCUAUGGUGUUUUAUCUGUUAAGUUAUCAUCUUGGAGACUUAUAGUUAAUUAAGGAACACUAGAAAACUCCAGAUGCCAUUAAAUUAAGGAGCAUUCGUUGUAUCAGUCCUCAUUUGCUCCACAAAAUAAAUGUGUACUUAAAGUCCUAAAGAAAGCAUGGAAGUGCCUUUUUUCCAUUGGGAAUGAAGACAGUGUGCUGUUGCUGUAGGAAGGAUUCAUGACAGUAAAUUUGUAAAUAACUAUCAAUUAGACAUAGUAAAUGAGAUUCCAGAAACUUCGUAUCUCUUAGACAUUUGUAACUUGCUUCAAUAGACAACUUUUAAACAAUGUGUUUUAGAAAGUGGUAAUUAAUUACUUUUUCUUGUCCGUUUCUAUAGAUUGUCUAACGAACAAAUGAGAAGAAAAAUUGCAGUUAAUUUUGAUGCUGUAGAAACAACCGUUGCUUUUGGGGCAUUGGUUGUCUCAGUCAUCAAGUGGCUGUGCCUAUGGUCCUAAAAAAAGCAUGAAAACGCCAUUUUUCCAUUGAGAACGGAGACAGUGUGCUGUUGCUGAAGAAAGGAUUUAUGACAAUGAACUGAUUGUCGUAACAAAUUAGAAGGAAUUGGUGCUACUGAAACAACCGAUGCUUUUGAUGUUUUCAUCUUGCAACAUUAUGCAGUAAGUUUUGGCCCUGAGAAUGGGAGGCAAAUUGAAAUUAAUUUGGAAGCCACUGAAACAAGAAAUU